UCUUUCUCUGUUUUGGAAGCCAAAACCUAGGGUUAGGUUCAGGGUUUGUGGUGAUCUCGAAUAACGCUAGGGGCAUUCUACAACGGGAUCAAGGGUAUGAAAUGCUUCGGCGCCGUGGCUUUCUCCUACCUCGUUGCCCUGCCUGAGGAGCGCUGGCCCACAUGCUAACGCCGGCGAAGGCGACCACUGACCCGCCUCACCUCCCAGGUUGUUACAUGUAGAGAUUUUUCCCUUCAGUCAUUGCAUAAUAUGGUCCCUAGAUAGUGUACAUGUCUAGGGGCCUAGAUGAAUAUGGCUGCCAAAUUUCUGACUUCGAUGUUCUUCUUGGGGAUUAAGAUCAAUGGAGAAGCAAUGCUGGUUAUGGCCUUAGAUGACUGCUUUCGUGGAUGUGUCAGAUAUCAGCGACCCUGACUACGAGUCUCCUGAAUUUCUCAGGUGGUCAUGAGAGAGAGGAACCUUUCUAGUGAUGACCAUGUGAUGUGCCCGAAAGAAGUUCAAUUGCUUGUUCCUCAUCAACUAGUUAUUUUGUUAGUUCAUGCGUGCUUUCAGUGGCAAAAAUAAAUGAAGAGCAGCACUAUGAGUGUAAUGGGGAUGUCCGAAACAAUGAACGUUUUGAUGGCAGUUCCACCACCUGAUUCCUUCACAAGAUGUCAGUCAGCAAAAUGCACACUUCGCCUUGAAGGACUAUCAUGAGAUGCAAGUCACCUCAGAAUCGAUGUCAUACCAGCAUGAUGGAUCCAAGUGAAACUGCUAUGUGCCAAUCUCCAGAAUUUGCUGGUUGGCUGUUAGCUUUCUCAUCAUUUGAAAAUAUUAUGAUGUACUAGUUCAAGGAUUAUGUGGCUGAUACAUUGAGUUGGAUUAUGUAGCUUUUCAUAUUCCAAUUUAGUAAGAUUGGAUACUUUCGUAAGUAAGAUGACUUGGGUGUUACCCAUGUUAUUUGAAUGGAGAACAGUGACUCCCUUUAUGUGCAGAA